CAAAAUGUGGCUUAGACAGUAAAGCAUCUGCCUGCAAUGCAGGAGACCCAGGUUCAAUCCCUGAGUUGA
rnacentral:tRNA from 1 species